CUUUCAGAGACGUGGAGUAAGGCAGGGCUGUAACCUUAGCCCCACAUUAUUCAAUAUAUACAUAAAUGAAUUGUCAAAACAAAUAGAGAACUCCCCUGCACCUGGCCUGAAACUACAAGACACUGAAAUAAAAUGUCUAUUUUAUGCUGAUGACCUGGUCCUACUUCUCCCACAAAAGAGGGGUUACAGCAACACCUGUCAGAAUUAGACAAAUACUGUCAAACCUGGGCCCUGACAGUAAAUCAAACCAAAACAAAUGUACUCAUUUUUCAAAAAAGGUCCAGGCCACAGAGAGACAACACUAUUUUCACAAUUGGAAACAACCCUAUUAAAGAAACAACAAAUUAUACAUAUUUAGGACAAAAAAUUUCAAAUACAGGUAAUUUUAACUUGGCUGUGAAUGAAUUGAGAGACAAAGCAAAAAGGGCUUUCUAUGCCAUCAAAAAAUCUAUACAAAUUGAACUACCAGUAACAACAUGGCUCAAAAUUUUCCAAUCUAUCAUUGAACCAAUUGCACUAUAUGGCAGCGAGGUGUGGGGUACACAAAUUCAACAUGAUUGGACAAAAUGGGACAAACACGCAAUUGAAAUACUACAUACACAGUUCUGCAAGAGUAUCCUCCAAGUGCAGAGAAAAGCUCCCAACUCUGCAUGUAGAGCUGAAUUAGGCCAAUACCCUCUAAUAUUAAAGAUCCAAAAACGAGCCCUAAAUUUCUGGAAUCAUAUUAAAACAAGUGACCCACUCUCCUUUUCCUACAAAGCCCUAUGCUGCCAGGAGUUGAACCCACAAAGGAGUCCCCUCUGCUUACUUGUCCUGAGGCUGGGUGAACCAUCACCCACCCAGGUCAUUACACAACGACGACCUCAGCCUCAAAACUCAAGAUCUCAGAUAAUCAGACCCAACCAAAUCAUUAUGAAAGAAAAAGAAAAAUAUAGAGAUCACUGGGCAAAAUUAACAAAAUCCCAGAACAAAUUAGAAACAUAUGUAUCACUAAACAGACAGUACACCGUGGCAAAUUACCUGACCACAGUGUCUGAUAAAAAAAUGAGGAAAACUUUAACUAAAUACAGACUGAGUGAGCACAACCUGGCAGUAGAAGUCGGCCGACACAGACAGACCUGGCUACCCAGAGAGGAGAGGCUGUGCUCCUUCUGUAACCAGGGAACAGUAGAG
rnacentral:lncRNA from 1 species